rnacentral:rRNA from 1 species
UACGUAGGGUGCGAGCGUUGUCCGGAAUUAUUGGGCGUAAAGAGCUCGUAGGCGGUCUGUCGCGUCGGUCGUGAAAACCUGCAGCUUAACUGUGGGCGUGCGGUCGAUACGGGCAUGACUGGAGUUCGGCAGGGGAGACUGGAAUUCCUGGUGUAGCGGUGAAAUGCGCAGAUAUCAGGAAGAACACCAAUGGCGAAAGCAGCUCUCUGGGACGGUACUGACGCUGAGACGCGAAAGCGUGGGGAGCGAACAGG